GGGAUUAGAGCCCUAAUGUUGGAAAAAAAGGCGACUAGGGAAUGGAGACCCUAUGUCUAAAAAUCUCAACUCAGUGAUUGGAGCCCUAAUGUUGGCAAAAAGGCGACUAGGGAAUGGAGGUCCUAUGUCUAAAAAUCUCAAUUCAGGGGUUGGAACCCUAAUGUUGGCAAAAAGGUGACUAGGGAAUGGAGGCCCUAUGUCUAAAAAUCUCAACUCAAGGAUUGGAGCCCUAAUGUUGGCAUAAAGUCAACUACGGAAUGGAGGCCCUAAGUCUAAAAUUCUCAACUCAGGGAUUGGAGCCCUAAUGUUGACAAAAAGGCGAUUAGGGAAUGAAGGCCCUAUGUCUAAAAAUCUCAACUCAUGGGUUGGAGCCCUAAUGUUGGCAAAAAGUCGACUGGGGAAUGGAGGCCCUAUGUCUAAAAAUCUCAACUCAAGGAUUGAAGCCCUAAUGUUGGUAAAAAAGGCGAGUAGAGAAUAGAGGCCCAAUGUCUAAAAAUCUCAACUCAGGGAUUGGACCCCUAAUGUUGGCAAAAGGCGACUAGGGAAUGGAGGCCCUAUGUGUUUAAAAAUCUCAACUCAGGGACUGAAGCCCUAAUGUUGACAAUAAAGACGACUAGGAAAUGGAGGUCCUAUGUUUAAAAAUCUCAACUCAGGGAUUGAAGCCCUAAUAUUGACAAAAAAGGCUACUAGGAAAUGGAGGCCCUAAGUCUAAAAAUCUCAACCCAGGGGUUGGAGUCCUAAUAUUAGCAUAAAGCCGACUAGGGAAUGGUGGCUCUAAGUCUAAAAAUCUCAACUCAGGGAUUGAAACCCUA
rnacentral:lncRNA from 1 species